GCCGCGAACGCGCGUUUGUUUUGAUGUGCAGUGCGGUGGAGUGCCAGUGAGUGAGUGAGGCGAUGUCGCGGGUGCCGGCGACAUGCUGGCCGUUCGCCCUGCCAAGUACCUGGGCUCGUUCCCGGUGGGUGACGGCGAGCACGCGGCGCGAGUGGACGCCGUCUCUGCCCACCUGCACCUCAUGAAGGAGAGCGGGCGUGCGGUCCCCGUGUUGGUGGUGGUAGCGCUCUCUGGGGUCAAAGUAUGCGACCCCGACGACCAGAGCGUGCGCAUGUCCCACGCGCUGCGGCGCAUCUCGUACGCGACGUGUG